UAACCUGCCCAAGAGAUCGGGAUAACACCUGGAAACAGAUGCUAAUACCGGAUAACAACAGAUGAUGCCUAUCAACUGUUUAAAAGAUGGUUCUGCUAUCACUCUUGGAUGGACUUGCGGUGCAUUAGCUAGUUGGUAGGGUAACGGCCUACCAAGGCGAUGAUGCAUAGCCGAGUUGAGAGACUGAUCGGCCACAUUGGGACUGAGACACGGCCCAAACUCCUACGGGAGGCAGCAGUC
rnacentral:rRNA from 1 species